UUACUUACCUGGACGAGGUUGAUGGGCGAUCAAGAAGGCUCAUGGCCCAGAUUGGUGACCUCCAUUGCACACAAAGGAGGGGGUGCCCAUCUAAGGUCUGCCCAAUGCGGCAGAGCCUACGUCAUUAUUUGUGGCAGCGGGGGGCCUGCGUUCGCGCGGCCCCUUC